rnacentral:rRNA from 3 species
GGGGAAUUUUCCGCAAUGGGCGAAAGCCUGACGGAGCAAUACCGCGUGAGGGAGGACGGCUUUUGGGUUGUAAACCUCUUUUAUCAGGGAAGAAUCGAUGACGGUACCUGAUGAAUCAGCAUCGGCUAACUCCGUGCCAGCAGCCGCGGUAAUACGGAGGAUGCAAGCGUUAUCCGGAAUUAUUGGGCGUAAAGCGUCCGUAGGUGGUUUAUCAAGUCUGCUGUCAAAGCGUGCGGCUUAACCGCAUAAGGGCAGUGGAAACUGAUGAACUAGAGUGCGAUAGGGGUAACAGGAAUUCCCAGUGUAGCGGUGAAAUGCGUAGAUAUUGGGAAGAACACCAGCGGCGAAAGCGUGUUACUGGGUCUGCACUGACACUGAGGGACGAAAGCUAGGGGAGCGAAAGGGAUUAGAUACCCCUGUAGUCCUAGCCGUAAACGAUGACAACUAGGCGUGGUUCGUAUCGACCCGAGCCGUGCCGUAGCCAACGCGUUAAGUUGUCCGCCUGGGGAGUACGCACGCAAGUGUGAAACUCAAAGGAAUUGACGGGGGCCCGCACAAGCGGUGGAGUAUGUGGUUUAAUUCGAUGCAACGCGAAGAACCUUACCAAGGCUUGACAUCCUCGGAACCCUGAUGAAAGUUAGGGGUGCCUUCGGGAGCCGAGAGACAGGUGGUGCAUGGCUGUCGUCAGCUCGUGUCGUGAGAUGUUGGGUUAAGUCCCGCAACGAGCGCAACCCACGUUUUUAGUUGCCAGCAUUCAGUUGGGCACUCUAGAGAGACUGCCGGUGACAAACCGGAGGAAGGUGUGGAUGACGUCAAGUCAGCAUGCCCCAUACGCCUUGGGCUACACACGUACUACAAUGCGUCGGACAAAGAGCAGCCAGCCAGCGAUGGUGAGCCAAUCUCAUAAACCGACGCUCAGUUCAGAUUGCAGGCUGCAACUCGCCUGCAUGAAGGCGGAAUCGCUAGUAAUCGCAGGUCAGCAUACUGCGGUGAAUACGUUCCCGGGCCUUGUACACACCGCCCGUCACACCAUGGGAGUUGGUCACGCCCGAAGUCGUUACUCUAACUGCUUGCAGAGGAGGACGCCGAAGGUGGGGCUGAUGACUGGGGUGAAGUCGUAACAAGGUAGCCGUACCGGAAGGUGUGGCUGGAUCACCUCCU